rnacentral:rRNA from 1 species
AAUAGAUACCCUGGUAGUCCACGCCCUAAACGAUGCGAACUGGAUGUUGGGUGCAACUAGGCACUCAGUAUCGAAGCUAACGCGUUAAGUUCGCCGCCUGGGGAGUACGGUCGCAAGACUGAAACUCAAAGGAAUUGACGGGGGCCCGCACAAGCGGUGGAGUAUGUGGUUUAAUUCGAUGCAACGCGAAGAACCUUACCUGGCCUUGACAUGCACGGAACUUUCCAGAGAUGGAUUGGUGCCUUCGGGAACCGUGACACAGGUGCUGCAUGGCUGUCGUCAGCUCGUGUCGUGAGAUGUUGGGUUAAGUCCCGCAACGAGCGCAACCCUUGUCCUUAGUUGCCAGCACGUAAUGGUGGGAACUCUAAGGAGACCGCCGGUGACAAACCGGAGGAAGGGGGGGACGACGUCAAGUCAUCAUGGCCCUUACGUCCAGGGCGACACACGUGCUACAAUGGCCGGUACAGAGCGUCGCAAGCUGGCAACAGCAAGCCAAUCGCCAAAAGCCGGUCUAAGUUCGGAUUGCAGU